UGCAAGUCGAACGAUGAAGCCCAGCUUGCUGGGUGGAUUAGUGGCGAACGGGUGAGUAACACGUGAGUAACCUGCCCUUAACUCUGGGAUAAGCCUGGGAAACUGGGUCUAAUACCGGAUAGGAGCGUCCACCGCAUGGUGGGUGUUGGAAAGAUUUAUCGGUUUUGGAUGGACUCGCGGCCUAUCAGCUUGUUGGUGAGGUAAUGGCUCACCAAGGCGACGACGGGUAGCCGGCCUGAGAGGGUGACCGGCCACACUGGGACUGAGACACGGCCCAGACUCCUACGGGAGGCAGCAGUGGGGAAUAUUGCACAAUGGGCGAAAGCCUGAUGCAGCGACGCCGCGUGAGGGAUGACGGCCUUCGGGUUGUAAACCUCCCUUCUUUUCAGUAGGGAAGAAGCGAAAGUGACGGGUACCUGCAGAAGAAGCACCGGGCUAACUACGUGCCAGCAGCCGCGGUAAUACGUAGGGUGCGAGCGUUAUCCGGAAUUAUUGGGCGUAAAGAGCUCGUAGGCGGUUUGUCGCGUCUGUCGUGAAAGUCCGGGGCUUAACCCCGGAUCUGCGGUGGGUACGGGCAGACUAGAGUGCAGUAGGGGAGACUGGAAUUCCUGGUGUAGCGGUGGAAUGCGCAGAUAUCAGGAGGAACACCGAUGGCGAAGGCAGGUCUCUGGGCUGUAACUGACGCUGAGGAGCGAAAGCAUGGGGAGCGAACAGGAUUAGAUACCCUGGUAGUCCAUGCCGUAAACGUUGGGCACUAGGUGUGGGGACCAUUCCACGGUUUCCGCGCCGCAGCUAACGCAUUAAGUGCCCCGCCUGGGGAGUACGGCCGCAAGGCUAAAACUCAAAGGAAUUGACGGGGGCCCGCACAAGCGGCGGAGCAUGCGGAUUAAUUCGAUGCAACGCGAAGAACCUUACCAAGGCUUGACAUGUUCUCGAUCGCCGUAGAGAUACGGUUUCCCCUUUGGGGCGGGUUCACAGGUGGUGCAUGGUUGUCGUCAGCUCGUGUCGUGAGAUGUUGGGUUAAGUCCCGCAACGAGCGCAACCCUCGUUCCAUGUUGCCAGCACGUAGUGGUGGGGACUCAUGGGAGACUGCCGGGGUCAACUCGGAGGAAGGUGAGGACGACGUCAAAUCAUCAUGCCCCUUAUGUCUUGGGCUUCACGCAUGCUACAAUGGCCGGUACAAUGGGUUGCGAUACUGUGAGGUGGAGCUAAUCCCAAAAAGCCGGUCUCAGUUCGGAUUGGGGUCUGCAACUCGACCCCAUGAAGUCGGAGUCGCUAGUAAUCGCAGAUCAGCAACGCUGCGGUGAAUACGUUCCCGGGCCUUGUACACACCGCCCGUCAAGUCACGAAAGUUGGUAACACCCGAAGCCGGUGGCCUAACCCUUGUGGGGGAGCCGUCGAAGGUGACCAGCAGUCAAAAA
rnacentral:rRNA from 1 species